GCCGAUAUAGCUCAGUUGGUAGAGCAACGCAUUCGUAAUGCGAAGGUCGUAGGUUCAACUCCUAUUAUCGGCACCA
rnacentral:tRNA from 1 species